rnacentral:rRNA from 1 species
GAUGAACGCUGGCGGCGUGCCUAAUACAUGCAAGUCGAGCGAACAGACGAGGAGCUUGCUCCUCUGACGUUAGCGGCGGACGGGUGAGUAAUACGUGGCUAACCUACCUAUAAGACUGGGAUAACUUCGGGAAACCGGAGCUAAUACCGGAUAAUAUAUUGAACCGCAUGGUUCAAUAGUGAAAGCCGGUUUUGCUGUCACUUAUACAUGGAUCCGCGCCGCAUUAGCUAGUUGGUAAGGUAACGGCUUACCAAGGCAACGAUGCGUAGCCGACCUGAGAGGGUGAUCGGCCACACUGGAACUGAGACACGGUCCAGACUCCUACGGGAGGCAGCAGUAGGGAAUCUUCCGCAAUGGGCGAAAGCUUGACGGAGCAACGCCGCGUGAGUGAUGAAGGUCUUCGGAUCGUAAAACUCUGUUAUUAGGGAAGAACAAAUGUGUAAGUAACUAUUCACGUCUUGACGGUACCUAAUCAGAAAGCCACGGUUAACUACGUG